rnacentral:rRNA from 1 species
GAUGAACGCUGGCGGCGUGCCUAAUACAUGCAAGUCGAGCGAACAGACGAGGAGCUUGCUCCUCUGACGUUAGCGGCGGACGGGUGAGUAACACGUGGAUAACCUACCUAUAAGACUGGGAUAACUUCGGGAAACCGGAGCAAAUACCGGAUAAUAUAUUGAACCGCAUGGUGCAAUAGUGAAAGACGGUUUUGCUGUCACUUAUAGAUGGAUCCGCGCCGCAUUAGCUAGUUGGUAAGGUAACGGCUUACCAAGGCGACGAUGCGUAGCCGACCUGAGAGGGUGAUCGGCCACACUGGAACUGAGACACGGUCCAGACUCCUACGGGAGGCAGCAGUAGGGAAUCGUCCGCAAUGGGCGAAAGCCUGACGGAGCAACGCCGCGUGAGUGAUGAAGGUCUUCGGAUCGUAAAACUCUGUUAUUAGGGAAGAACAAAUGUGUAAGUAACUAUGCACGUCUUGACGGUACCUAAUCAGAAAGCAACGGCUAACUACGUG